AAAAAAAAAAAAAAACAGGCUGUUAGAGAGAGGGAGAGAGACCAUAAGACGGGGUGCAAAGGAAAAAUAUGAAGCAUGAAGCACAUACUGAACAAAAACAAUCUCCCAUUGGACAUAAAAUCAAGCAUGCAGCGCAUAUUGAGUUUGUUAUUCUCCAACAGUAAAAAAAAAAUCCAAUAGAUAAAGCACCGCGGAUAAUGAAAUUCAAUAGGGGUCAUUGAAUGGCUGGUGAGAUUUGAUGGGAGGGAAGACUUAGAGAAGAGAAACUAGUAGGGAUGGGCGAUGGGGUACCUACUAGGUAGUGGUGGUGGUGGUUGGUACCCAUUGCCCAUCCCUAGAAAUCGGAGGUGUUGGCAGCUGGGGAUGGGAAAUAUGGAUUAGGGUCAAGAAUAAGAGCAUGUAUUGGGUGUUAGAUGUGCUGGCUGGGUCGGUUUAAAACACUUGUGACCGGGCCACUACACCAAAGUAAUCUGGGGAGGUUGAAAAUAUUUUAAACAUUUAAGAGCGGGACAAGGACCAACCUGCAUCUCCCUGCUUCGGUUGGACAGGUGUGUCUGGUUCAUUAGAAAUUCACCUGCCUCAACACAAAUUGAUAAGAUGAGCUUACGUAUUGCACUAGUCAAAACCUUAGUUGGCACAUUUGCAUCUUGCAUCUAAUAAUGUAAAUUGUUACUUUUGUCACUUUAUUAGCCUUGAGGGAGCCCCCUUUUAAAAUCCUUUGGUGUGUUUAUAGUACUUUCUAAGCAUAAACUGUAGAGGGAAAGGAGGAUUGGAUAGCUACUCAAAACCCUUAUGUCAUAGAGAACUCGAACAUAAGUUUAGUUACGUUGAGUAAUGAAAUAUUUUAAUAUUUUCCUGGUUAAGAAACAAAGGUUUUGUUAGAAUGCUCUCCAUUUUCCGAUAUUAUUUCAGUUUGAUGAAGCGGACAACUGCUUAGAGUACACAGGCUAUUCUUGCAAGCAUGUGUCUGCAUACAUGUUUGAUAUGGGAGAGGAAGAUGUGGAUUUCAAAAUUUGAGAAGUUCUUUUCCAUCCUCUGUUUUGUUUAAAUGCAGAAACACUGCUGGUUUUGUGUAUUUGCGGUUUGAAACUGUGGAAGCAGCAGCUGCAGCUCAACAAUCUAUGCAUUUGAGAUGGUUUGCAGGCAGGCAGAUUUCAGCCCUGUUCAUGCAACCGCAAGUGUACGAGGCCAGGUUUGGAGUUUAGAAUGGAGUUGAAGUGUCUUCGUGGUGGUGUUUUUAGUUUACAGCUAGUCAUUUCUUUGCCCUUUUAGGAUACAAAAUUUCCUAGUUUUCCGAUCCUUACACAUGUAUGAUUACAUCGAAUGCAUGACACUCACUUGGUUGAAGAAAGUGUGUAAUUUUGUACUCCAACCGUCUGUUUUAUAUCAUUAACUAAUAUUAAGAGUUCAAUUUA